CAUGAUUACAAGUACAAAUAUUAUUUUGAACAAUAAAAUUACAUCUAUGACUAUCUGCUAAAAUAUUUCGAUAUUAUAAGCAUUUAUACUAUUUCUUUCCUAAGUUUUGACAACUAACAAGUUGAACGUGUUAAGUGCGUCGUUUUUAAUUCACCCUUUACGGACGUCGUUAAUAUAUAACUGCCAUUCUUGUCCAUCUAAUUUCCGAUAUUUAUCUACGACUACGGAUUUCAUCUGUAGGAGAGUCAAAAUAUUUGUCUAAGACUUCAAUGUUUUGCGAUAUUCAGAGGACGGCCAUGCAUGCACAGUAUUUUUUUUUGGCAAGUGUAAGCACGCGUAAAAAAAUUUACCCUAAACUAAAUGAAGAGGAAUAGCCGGUUCCCCUUAUUAC